AAAGGAAUAGACGGGGACCUGCACAACCAGUGGAGCAUGUGGUUUAAUUCGAAACGAACCGAAGAACCUUACCCGGGUUUGACAUGUAAUUCUUAAUGCCGCCUAGAGAUAGGUUGGAAUGUCAACUUUGUUGACAGGGAUUACACAGGUGUUGCAUGGCCGUCGUCAGCUCGUGCCGUGGGGUGUUCCCUUAAGUGGGGUAACGAGCGCAACCCCUGUCCCGAGUUAAAUAUUCUCGGGAGACUGGUCCGAUUUUCGGACAGGAAGCGGGGACGACGUCAGGUCAGCAUGGCCCUUAUAUCCGGGGCUACACACAUGCUACAAUGGGGCCGACAAUGGGUUGCCAAGCGGAAACGUGGAGCUAAUCCCAUCAAACGGCCUCUCAGUGGGGAUUGAGGGCUGCAACUCGCCCUCAUGAACGUGGAAUUGGUAGUAAUCGCGGAUCAGCUAUGCCGCGGUGAAUACGUUCUCAGGUCUUGUACACACCGCCCGU
rnacentral:rRNA from 1 species